rnacentral:rRNA from 1 species
GGCGGCGUGCCUAAUACAUGCAAGUCGAGCGCGGGAAGCAAGCAGAACCCCUUCGGGGGUGACGCAUGUGGAACGAGCGGCGGACGGGUGAGUAACACGUGGGCAACCUGCCUGUAAGACUGGGAUAACUCCGGGAAACCGGGGCUAAUACCGGAUAAUACGUUUUCUUGCAUAAGGAGACGUUAAAAGGCGGCGCAAGCUGUCACUUACAGAUGGGCCCGCGGCGCAUUAGCUAGUUGGUGGGGUAAAAGCCUACCAAGGCGACGAUGCGUAGCCGACCUGAGAGGGUGAUCGGCCACACUGGGACUGAGACACGGCCCAGACUCCUACGGGAGGCAGCAGUAGGGAAUCUUCCGCAAUGGACGAAAGUCUGACGGAGCAACGCCGCGUGAGUGAAGAAGGUUUUCGGAUCGUAAAACUCUGUUGUUAGGGAAGAACAAGUGCCGUUCAAAUAGGGCGGCACCUUGACGGUACCUAACCAGAAAGCCCCGGCUAACUACGUGCCAGCAGCCGCGGUAAUACGUAGGGGGCAAGCGUUGUCCGGAAUUAUUGGGCGUAAAGCGCGCGCAGGCGGUCUUUUAAGUCUGAUGUGAAAGCCCACGGCUUAACCGUGGAGGGCCAUUGGAAACUGGAGGACUUGAGUACAGAAGAGGAGAGUGGAAUUCCACGUGUAGCGGUGAAAUGCGUAGAGAUGUGGAGGAACACCAGUGGCGAAGGCGACUCUCUGGUCUGUAACUGACGCUGAGGUGCGAAAGCGUGGGUAGCGAACAGGAUUAGAUACCCUGGUAGUCCACGCCGUAAACGAUGAGUGCUAGGUGUUAGGGGGUUUCCGCCCCUUAGUGCUGCAGUUAACGCAUUAAGCACUCCGCCUGGGGAGUACGGCCGCAAGG